GAAAGGUACGGUCCGGGGGUCGGGGUAGUAUGUGGGCGGCAAGCGUUAUACGGAAUUGUGGGGCGGAACGAGCGCGUAGGGGGUUUGGCGCGUCUGCUGUGAAAACCCGAGGCGCAACCUCGGGCCCGCAGGGGGUACGGGCAGAGUAGAGUGCGGUAGGGGGGAUUGGAAUUCCUGGUGUAGCGGUGGAAUGCGCAGAUAUCAGGAGGAACACCGAUGGCGAAGGCAGAUCUCUGGGCCGUAACUGACGCUGAGGAGCGAAAGGGUGGGGAGCAAACAGGAUUAGAUACCCCAGUAGUC
rnacentral:rRNA from 1 species